GUUUGGCAAGAUUGAUGAUUCAAUUAAUUAGAUGUGUGAAAUGGGAACUCCUUAAUUUUCGUGAACUUAAAUUUUUUGAGGCAUAAAUUAACUUGUCUGACUUGCCCAC